ensembl:lncRNA
CUUGGAAAAUGCUAGAAUUUAUUCUGUCUUCGGAUGCAAAGAAAUAAAAACAAACGUACCAUUGAUGUCACUGCCCAGUUUAAUACCUGACAUGUCACUUUCCUAAACAAGAAGUCGACAUUAAAGACAAUACUUUUUUAGGCUAUGCCUGACAUUACAGAAUGACAAUCGUUCAAUUAAGACAAUUGACAUGUUAUGAACAGGUACAAAUCGAAAUGUGGAAUUAAUCUAUGGAUUCUAAUCAUUUUCCUCAUUUGCUAUUAGAGCAUUCAUGACAUUAUUAUUGAGGUGUGAGCUUUACAACAGCAACAAAAAACAAGGAAACCCAGAUCUUAUGGUCUUCAUCAAAAAAAAGCUACAAUCAACAUUUUAGUUUGAGCGCAAAUUUCAAAACUUGCAAAAUACUGAUGAGUUCAAAUUAUAUUUUCAUGUUGUAACAUUUCCAAGAGUAAAGCUUUUCAUUAAAUAUGUGUGUCAUGUCAAUAAUGUUUGUGUUCUACAUAACAAAACAAUCCAGUGACACUGUCAUGUAAGUGCCCAGACUGAAGCGGAUUAUGUAUAUAGACACAUUUGUGAAAACAAACAAACGUGUACAACUAUGAUAAUGUGCCAGUCUGCCGAAAUCCACAAAAAUGACAUUGACUAUGGACUAAAUCGCAGUUAAAAAACUUUUUUCAAAGCAUCUGCCAAGUGUUUUUCACAUUUUUUGACCUAUAUCACAUAUUAACACAGACAAUGGAAAUAGAACAUGUUCAUGGUUCAUGCUUUGGUGGGGAACACUUAGCAGCCUUACUAUGAAUCAAUUCCAGUUACUGCAGGACCCCCUCCCUGGUUCUUCCUGCCAAGCUGGGUGUCUCUACCCAUAUCCAACAACAAUCCAACUGCAUUCAAUGCAGUUUGUUCAUGUUGACAAAGACCAUGCGCUAUAUCUAAGAGGGAACCAGUAGCAGGGAGGUAGAAAACGACUACUUGUUCUCAUUAUUUUAUAGGAGUGGCUCAAACAUACAGCUCCCAUCAUUUUAUAUCUGGAGAGAUCCAUCCAACAAUCCAUGAUGUGCUGUUCCUCAUAUUCUUUCCCUAUCUCAGGUCUGCAUCUGUCCAGAGGGAUCCACUCUGUGGAAAGAGGACAAUGGAGACUUUAUUCAUGAAAGUGUCAAAAACUUGACUGGAUCAUGCCUAUUCACUUGUCAGUAUCUGUAAACACAUUCUUGUGACAUGCUACAUGGUAAUAACUACUAACAACAGUAUAGUUUCCC